UUAAGCGACUAAGCGUACACGGUGGAUGCCCUGGCAGUCAGAGGCGAUGAAGGACGUGCUAAUCUGCGAUAAGCGUCGGUAAGGUGAUAUGAACCGUUAUAACCGGCGAUUUCCGAAUGGGGAAACCCAGUGUGUUUCGACACACUAUCAUUAACUGAAUCCAUAGGUUAAUGAGGCGAACCGGGGGAACUGAAACAUCUAAGUACCCCGAGGAAAAGAAAUCAACCGAGAUUCCCCCAGUAGCGGCGAGCGAACGGGGAGCAGCCCAGAGCCUGAAUCAGUGUGUGUGUUAGUGGAAGCGUCUGGAAAGGCGCGCGAUACAGGGUGACAGCCCCGUACACAAAAAUGCACAUGCUGUGAGCUCGAUGAGUAGGGCGGGACACGUGGUAUCCUGUCUGAAUAUGGGGGGACCAUCCUCCAAGGCUAAAUACUCCUGACUGACCGAUAGUGAACCAGUACCGUGAGGGAAAGGCGAAAAGAACCCCGGCGAGGGGAGUGAAAAAGAACCUGAAACCGUGUACGUACAAGCAGUGGGAGCACGCUUCGGCGUGUGACUGCGUACCUUUUGUAUAAUGGGUCAGCGACUUAUAUUCUGUAGCAAGGUUAACCGAAUAGGGGAGCCGAAGGGAAACCGAGUCUUAACUGGGCGUUAAGUUGCAGGGUAUAGACCCGAAACCCGGUGAUCUAGCCAUGGGCAGGUUGAAGGUUGGGUAACACUAACUGGAGGACCGAACCGACUAAUGUUGAAAAAUUAGCGGAUGACUUGUGGCUGGGGGUGAAAGGCCAAUCAAACCGGGAGAUAGCUGGUUCUCCCCGAAAGCUAUUUAGGUAGCGCCUCGUGAAUUCAUCUCCGGGGGUAGAGCACUGUUUCGGCAAGGGGGUCAUCCCGACUUACCAACCCGAUGCAAACUGCGAAUACCGGAGAAUGUUAUCACGGGAGACACACGGCGGGUGCUAACGUCCGUCGUGAAGAGGGAAACAACCCAGACCGCCAGCUAAGGUCCCAAAGUCAUGGUUAAGUGGGAAACGAUGUGGGAAGGCCCAGACAGCCAGGAUGUUGGCUUAGAAGCAGCCAUCAUUUAAAGAAAGCGUAAUAGCUCACUGGUCGAGUCGGCCUGCGCGGAAGAUGUAACGGGGCUAAACCAUGCACCGAAGCUGCGGCAGCGACGCUGAUGCGUUGUUGGGUAGGGGAGCGUUCUGUAAGCCUGCGAAGGUGUGCUGUGAGGCAUGCUGGAGGUAUCAGAAGUGCGAAUGCUGACAUAAGUAACGAUAAAGCGGGUGAAAAGCCCGCUCGCCGGAAGACCAAGGGUUCCUGUCCAACGUUAAUCGGGGCAGGGUGAGUCGACCCCUAAGGCGAGGCCGAAAGGCGUAGUCGAUGGGAAACAGGUUAAUAUUCCUGUACUUGGUGUUACUGCGAAGGGGGGACGGAGAAGGCUAUGUUGGCCGGGCGACGGUUGCCCCGGUUUAAGCGUGUAGGCUGGUUUUCCAGGCAAAUCCGGAAAAUCAAGGCUGAGGCGUGAUGACGAGGCACUACGGUGCUGAAGCAACAAAUGCCCUGCUUCCAGGAAAAGCCUCUAAGCAUCAGGUAACAUCAAAUCGUACCCCAAACCGACACAGGUGGUCAGGUAGAGAAUACCAAGGCGCUUGAGAGAACUCGGGUGAAGGAACUAGGCAAAAUGGUGCCGUAACUUCGGGAGAAGGCACGCUGAUAUGUAGGUGAGGUCCCUCGCGGAUGGAGCUGAAAUCAGUCGAAGAUACCAGCUGGCUGCAACUGUUUAUUAAAAACACAGCACUGUGCAAACACGAAAGUGGACGUAUACGGUGUGACGCCUGCCCGGUGCCGGAAGGUUAAUUGAUGGGGUUAGCGCAAGCGAAGCUCUUGAUCGAAGCCCCGGUAAACGGCGGCCGUAACUAUAACGGUCCUAAGGUAGCGAAAUUCCUUGUCGGGUAAGUUCCGACCUGCACGAAUGGCGUAAUGAUGGCCAGGCUGUCUCCACCCGAGACUCAGUGAAAUUGAACUCGCUGUGAAGAUGCAGUGUACCCGCGGCAAGACGGAAAGACCCCGUGAACCUUUACUAUAGCUUGACACUGAACAUUGAGCCUUGAUGUGUAGGAUAGGUGGGAGGCUUUGAAGUGUGGACGCCAGUCUGCAUGGAGCCGACCUUGAAAUACCACCCUUUAAUGUUUGAUGUUCUAACGUUGACCCGUAAUCCGGGUUGCGGACAGUGUCUGGUGGGUAGUUUGACUGGGGCGGUCUCCUCCUAAAGAGUAACGGAGGAGCACGAAGGUUGGCUAAUCCUGGUCGGACAUCAGGAGGUUAGUGCAAUGGCAUAAGCCAGCUUGACUGCGAGCGUGACGGCGCGAGCAGGUGCGAAAGCAGGUCAUAGUGAUCCGGUGGUUCUGAAUGGAAGGGCCAUCGCUCAACGGAUAAAAGGUACUCCGGGGAUAACAGGCUGAUACCGCCCAAGAGUUCAUAUCGACGGCGGUGUUUGGCACCUCGAUGUCGGCUCAUCACAUCCUGGGGCUGAAGUAGGUCCCAAGGGUAUGGCUGUUCGCCAUUUAAAGUGGUACGCGAGCUGGGUUUAGAACGUCGUGAGACAGUUCGGUCCCUAUCUGCCGUGGGCGCUGGAGAACUGAGGGGGGCUGCUCCUAGUACGAGAGGACCGGAGUGGACGCAUCACUGGUGUUCGGGUUGUCAUGCCAAUGGCACUGCCCGGUAGCUAAAUGCGGAAGAGAUAAGUGCUGAAAGCAUCUAAGCACGAAACUUGCCCCGAGAUGAGUUCUCCCUGACCCUUUAAGGGUCCUGAAGGAACGUUGAAGACGACGACGUUGAUAGGCCGGGUGUGUAAGCGCAGCGAUGCGUUGAGCUAACCGGUACUAAUGAACCGUGAGGCUUAACCUU
rnacentral:rRNA from 1 species